rnacentral:rRNA from 1 species
GACGGGGGGGGCAAGUGUUCUUCGGAAUUACUGGGCGUAAAGGGCUCGUAGGUGGCCAACUAAGUCAUACGUGAAAUCCCUCGGCUUAACCGGGGAACUGCGUCUGAUACUGGAUGGCUUGAGUUUGGGAGAGGGAUGCGGAAUUCCAGGUGUAGCGGUGAAAUGCGUAGAUAUCUGGAGGAACACCGGUGGCGAAGGCGGCAUCCUGGACCAACACUGACACUGAGGAGCGAAAGCCAGGGGAGCAAACGGG